rnacentral:rRNA from 1 species
GACGAACGCUGGCGGCGUGCUUAACACAUGCAAGUCGAACGGUGAAGCGCCUUCCUUUUUGGUGGGUGUGGAUGAGUGGCGAACGGGUGAGUAACACGUGAGUAACCUGCCCCCUUCUUCUGGAUAACCGCAUGAAAGUGUGGCUAAUACGGGAUAUUCUGGGUCUGUCGCAUGAUGGGUCUGGGAAAGAUAUUGUUUCGGUGGGGGAUGGGCUCGCGGCCUAUCAGCUUGUUGGUGGGGUGAUGGCCUACCAAGGCGGUGACGGGUAGCCGGCCUGAGAGGGUGGACGGUCACACUGGGACUGGGACACGGGCCAGACUCCUACGGGAGGCAGCAGUGGGGAAUAUUGCACAAUGGGCGCAAGCCUGAUGCAGCGACGCCGCGUGAGGGAUGGAGGCCUUCGGGUUGUGAACCUCUUUCGCCAGUGAAGCAGGCCUGCCUCGUUUGUGGGUGGGUUGACGGUAGCUGGAUAAGAAGCGCCGGCUAACUACGU